rnacentral:lncRNA from 1 species
GCGUGGACAGGGUGUGGUUGGUCUCUGGAGCAGGCUUCACCUAGCUCUUGGUCAUCUCUUUGCCCCAGUGUCCCUGUCUUUAGUAGGGACAGGAACAGUACCAACUUCAUAGGGCUGUCUUAAGGAUUACAAAGGCUAAAUACCUCUGAAGGGCAUUACGCUGAGAACAAUGCCAGGCAUCUGGUUAACCCCAAGUCAGUGUUAGCCUCUGAGUGGUUUCCUGUGACUCAAGCAAGUAAGAUAAUUACUCAUGCUUCCACACGCCCCUUCCUGAACCCUCUUUCUUCAGCGGUCCUCAUUUGUCCUUCUUAUGGGAACAUAGAGUUUAGAAUUCAGAGUCAAAUCCCAGGUCUGCUCCUGGCUCCAUCUCUCAUUCACUAUGUGACAUUAGGCACGUUGGUCAACCUCUCACUAAAACUCAGGCUUUUUUUUUUUUUUUUUUUGAGACAAAGUUUCACUCUUGUCACCCAGGCUGGAGCGUAUAACAGUACGAUCCCGGCUUACUGCAAUCUCUGCCUCCUAGGUUCAAGCAAAGAUUCUCCUGCCUCGGCCUCCUGAGUAGUUGGGAUUACAGGCACCCGCCAUGAGCCUGGCUAAUUUGUGUAUUUUUAGUAGAGACGGGGUUUUACCAUGUUGGCUAGGCUGCUCUCGAACGCCUGAACUCAGGUGAUCCACCCACUUCAGCCUCCCAGAGUGCUGGGAUUACAGGCAUGAGCCAUGGUGCCCGGCCAAUUUUUAAAAUUUUUAAUUUAUUAUUAUUUGAGACAGGGUUUCACUCUGUCACCCAGGCUGGAGUGCAGUGGUGCAACCAUGGCUCACUGCAGCCUUGACCUCCUGGGCUCAAGCGAUCCUCCCACCUCAGUCUCCCUAGUAGCUGGGAUUAUAGACAUGUGACACCACACCCGGCUAAUAUUUGUAUUUUUGUAGAGACAGGGUUUUCUCAUGUUGCCCAGGCUGGUCUCCAACUCCUUGGCUCAAGCAAUCUGCCCACCUCGGCUUCCCAAAGUGCUGGGAUUACCGGCAUGAGCCACCAGGCUCGGCCGAUCUUUAUCAUGGGAGUAACAAUGUCUACCACGGUAUUUUUGUGAGAAUUAAAUGUGAUGAAGUAGGUAAGAAGCAAUGCUGCCACCACGUGUGGCACACAGGGCUUCAUAUGGUUGCUAACCCUCCCCUCCACCUGUUUCACUAGAAGGAGUGAUCCCCGGAGGGAGUUCGGAGGGAGCUUCUGUAGACCCCGGGAAGCUGACAGGAGCUGACACUUGUGUUAUAGAAUUUCAAACACCUGCCAAAUACAUUUCAAACUGUCUAGACACCUCGCUCCUGAAGUGUGGUCUGAGAACUUCACAGCAUAGACUUCGCCAGAUCCCAGGAGUUCACCAAAAAUGCAUCUGCGGUUCCUCAUCUCACGUCCACCCCGCAGCUACUGAUUUGGAAUCUGCAUUUUAAGAGCCCCAGUGACCCCCUAUACUCAUAAGAGCUGGGAAUCACUGCCUCAGAGUUCAGUCCUCUUUUGGCUAUACAACCUUUGGCAGGUGACUUAAUCUAAACCUCCAUUUCUUUACAUGUAAAAUGAGGCUGCAUGCAAUACCUACCCUAGAUGGUGGUUAUGAAGAUAAAAUGAGAUAGCCUAGUUAAGCUAUUAGUACAGAGUCCAGCACAUCAUAGUCAAUGCUGGCAAUUUAGAUAAAAUAUUUAGAUGACUUAGAUAGCAAAUCAAGAUACUACAUUAUCUCAUUAGAUGUUUACAAAACCUUGUGCUGUGCGCAGAACAGGUAUUAUCAUCUUCAUUUUACAGAGGGGCGCACUGGGCUGGAGCGGGAGGCAGGACGUGAACUCUCAAGAGGCUGUGUGCAAGUUCCAGCAGGAGAGGGGGGCUGACCUCACACCCUCGCCUAAAGGACAGUCUGUCUGGGGACAGCCUGAGUGGAGUCCACAGCAGCAGAGAAGGGACACCAGUUCUGUCCAGCCUACCAGGGCAGUCACAUCAACACUGCAAGCAACAGCUGGUGGCACCUGCCCAGCCAAGGCACCUCAGCUGAACUAGAAUGCGGGCUUUCCCAUUCUAAGGUUGGCUCUCUCUCAUACCCGAAGCGUUCACUCCAGGCUGGGUUAGUCCUGGUGGGAAGGUGGAAUAAUUAUUUCCCUAGAAGCCUUUACUAAGGGAGCUCUCACUUGUGGUGUGGACAGCGGGGGAAGAGCGCCCCCACAGGCU